AGAGAACGCUGGCGGUAGGCCUAACACAUGCAAGUCGAACGGCAGCACAGGAGAGCUUGCUCUCUGGGUGGCGAGUGGCGGACGGGUGAGGAAUACAUCGGAAUCUACUUUUUCGUGGGGGAUAACGUAGGGAAACUUACGCUAAUACCGCAUACGACCUACGGGUGAAAGCAGGGGACCUUCGGGCCUUGCGCGAUUGAAUGAGCCGAUGUCGGAUUAGCUAGUUGGCGGGGUAAAGGCCCACCAAGGCGCAGAUCCGUAGCUGGCCUGAGGGGAGGGUCAGCCACACGGGAACUGCGACACGGUCCAGACUCCUACGGGAGGCAGCAGUGGGGAAUAUUGGACAAUGGGCGCAAGCCUGAUCCAGCCAUACCGCGUGGGUGAAGAAGGCCUUCGUGUUGUAAAGCCCUUUUGUUGGGAAAGAAAUCCAGCUGGCUAAUACCCGGUUGGGAUGACGGUACCCAAAGAAUAAGCACCGGCUAACUUCGUGCCAGCCGCCGCAGUAA
rnacentral:rRNA from 1 species